UGCGGCGGCCAUGGCCCAGGAGAGACGCCCGGUCCCAUUCCGAACCCGGAAGCUAAGACCUGGCACGGCGAUGGUACUGCACCCGACAGGGUGUGGGAGAGUAGCACGCCGCCGCAC
rnacentral:rRNA from 8 species